UUAAGCGACUAAGCGUACACGGUGGAUGCCCUGGCAGUCAGAGGCGAUGAAGGGCGUACUAAUCUGCGAUAAGCGCCGGUAAGGUGAUAUGAACCGUUAUAACCGGCGAUACCCGAAUGGGGAAACCCAGUGUGAUUCGUCACACUAUCAUUAACUGAAUCCAUAGGUUAAUGAGGCGAACCGGGGGAACUGAAACAUCUAAGUACCCCGAGGAAAAGAAAUCAACCGAGAUUCCCCCAGUAGCGGCGAGCGAACGGGGAGGAGCCCAGAGCCUGAAUCAGCAUGUGUGUUAGUGGAAGCGUCUGGAAAGGCGCGCGAUACAGGGUGACAGCCCCGUACACAAAAGCGCAUGUGCUGUGAGCUCGAUGAGUAGGGCGGGACACGUGGUAUCCUGUCUGAAUAUGGGGGGACCAUCCUCCAAGGCUAAAUACUCCUGACUGACCGAUAGUGAACCAGUACCGUGAGGGAAAGGCGAAAAGAACCCCGGCGAGGGGAGUGAAAAAGAACCUGAAACCGUGUACGUACAAGCAGUGGGAGCCCCACCACCAAAGCAUUUGCUGUACCGCGUUGACGGAGCGAAGCGACGUCAAACCGAU
rnacentral:rRNA from 1 species